CUCUCUCUCUCUCUCUCUCUCUCUCCUCAAAUUCGAUGCAAUCCAAUGACGAAGGAGCUCAAUUUCUCUUCUGUGGUUCGCCUCAACAUAGGAGGGAAGAAAUUUUGCACUACUGUUGAUACUUUGACGCAGCGCGAACCUGAUUCAAUGCUUGCUGCUAUGUUCAGUGGCCGGCAUACAGUGUGCGAGGACCCUGAGAAAAGGGAUAUGUCUUUGUUGAUAGGGACGGGAAACAUUUUAGGCAUAUUCUGAAUUGGUUGAGGGAUGGUGUGGCUCCCACACUUACUGAUGCUGAAUAUUCAGAGCUUAUGAGGGAGGCAGAAUACUAUCAGUUACUUGACCUUUCAUUUGUUGACUUCAGCUUUGC
rnacentral:misc_RNA from 1 species